ensembl:lncRNA
CGCAGACCCUGAAAUAGACCUGGUCCUCAAACACCAAACCGUACACAGACGCGUCUGUAGGAUCGUACCACUAACACACACGCCCCGAUACACACACACACACACAAACAUACACACACACACACACAAACCUACACACACACACACACAAACAUACACACACACACACACACACAAACCUACACACACACACACACCCCGAUAGUACACACACAAACAUACACACACGAACACGCCCAGAUACACACGAUACACAGAUAAACACAUGCACAGAUACACACGAUGUAAACACACAUACACACACACACACACACACACACACAUACAGAUACACACAAUACAUACACACGCCCAGAUACACACAAACAUACACGCACACACAAACAUGCCUAGAUACACACAGAUAAACACACACUUACACACACACACAAGGAAACACACAUAAACACACACUCACACAAACUGUGGGAACCGUCACACAUGUAAAAUAGUUGGAUGCCAGGAACACACAAACACACACACACACACACACACACACACACACACACACACACACACACACACACACACAGAGGAAUCUGUCGCCAUGCACAUCCUAUUGUGCUCCAGCUUAUGUUGUUUAUUGUCUGAAACACAGUCCAGCACACUGAAGCAGGGUUAUUCAGACGCACACACACACACACACACACACACACACACACACACACAGACCGUACACAUACACACACAAACAUACUUACACCGUACGCAUGCACACACACACCAUCACAACCAUCACCAUGACAACCAUGACAACCAUCCCAACCAUCACCAUGACAACCAUCAAAAACAUCACAACCAUCACCAUGACAACCAUCACAACCAUUACCAUUACAACCAUCACAAACAUGACAACCAUCACAGCCAUUACCACCAUUACUAUUUCAACCAUCACAACCAGUCCAGUCUGGUGAGACGGAGGAAACAAUCACACCUGAUGACUUGUUUCAGUGACGACGAGGGAGGAGGGGUUGCUAUGGCAACAGAACAUCUUACAUUACCGAGCUGGCAGAUGAGAAGGUAAAACCCAACACCCACUAACGCGCACACACACACAUACAGGUCCCUGUGUGGACCAGGUCCCUGGGAGAGGACCAGGUCCCUGUGUGGACCAGGUCCCUGGGUCAGGCCGCCUUUCCCUUCGCUGGGAACACCACUUUCAUGUUUAUUCUUUUUUUAUAAAUUGAAUUACAGGCAAACCCCCCC